rnacentral:lncRNA from 10 species
CAGUUGGCAGUAAGCAGGCAUUUUCCAGAAGAAUCCCGAAGGCAAAUACUCUGUUCUGCUCUCAGUUAACCUGUGCUACUGUCAGACCACAUACACUGUAGAGUUCAGAGGUAGCUGCUAUGGGAGUGAAUCUUCUUGCUGCUGCCAAAGACGGGCCGCAUGUCCCAGGGUUUCUGCUGAGCAACCAGUCAGCGUGCUGCUGAGCACCCGGGCCCGAUGUGAAAUGGUCAGCUCCUUUCCUUCUACCAGUGCCAACUGCUGCACCUGCCAGCCUCUGCCUAGCCUCCACCACUGAUGCUGCUGUAAGAGGAAGAAGAUUCCUGUCUUAACAGAAUUCUCAUGCAUGCCUUUCAAACCGAGGAGCUCACAGGCUGACGGAAGAGGAUGACAGGGAGUGGAGGCAGCUGCACUCGGGUGUUUAUAGUGCACAUACAUGAUUCAUCUCAAACCAGACAAGCCAUGCUGCACCCGACGGCUCGCCAUUUCUCAGAGAUGCCAAGCCUUCUUACAACUCUGAGCCUCUGCAUGUGUCUAGAACAUUUUACCCAUAUUUCUCUACCUGCUGGACUCCUUUCCAUCCUUCAAAACUCAGACCAAAUGUCCUUGCUCUGUGAAACCCUCCUUCUUCCCAGGGGACUCCUGCAGGCCAGCAGCAGGGACGGACUCACCUCCCUGUGCCCUCUCCCAGCAGAUGACCUCAGCCCUCACAGUUGAAGAAGUUGGUAAGAAACUGACAAUUUGGUGUAGGAAAAUUUAAAAAACUGUCAGCAAGUUCACUGAAUAACAUUUGGAGGACUUCAUUAUGAAAAAGGGAUCAGGCCAUUCAUUCAUUCCUUAAGCAUUUAUGGCGUGCCCACCAGGUGCCCAAAGUGUGCUCCAAAGAGGCACAGGUGAGGCCACAGGAUCUGUCCUCAGAUCCGGAUUUCACAGCCCAGUGGAGGAAGUGAUGUCUAACAAGGUGAGUGUCAUACAGCACACCACUCACGGGAGAAAAAAAGCUCUGGAGCAAUGGCAACGGGACAGAGCCCACCCGAGGAGAUGGGAAGAUGUGGGAGGCACACCUCAGAGGGGUGGAGAGUCCCUGGGAACUGUGCUUCAGGCAGAAGGGACAGCCUAGGCGAGAAAUAGCAUGCCAGGCACAGGGGAAUUUUAUCAUAAGGGGAGGCAAGAGUAUAAGAAAACCGGGUUUGCCCUAUCGCAUUCAAGGGUGGCUCUCUUGGCCAGCAUCAUUCAGGUGGCUGUUUUGAGUUGUUCCCGGCAGCCUCCACCAAAGACAAAAGAGGACUGUGUACAAGCUCUCACCUGGCCAGGCCCUCGUGACUGGCAGCUUACAUUGCCAAGACAGCUGCUUGGAUCAUGAGAUGUAGCACAGCUGGUCCAAAAGGCAAAUAAGAAACGAUCCGUGGUGUCACCUCAAGUGUCUCAAAAUCAUUGAAGCACAUGCUGAGAGCCCACCUCUCACUUUGCAGAUGAGGAAGCAGAGGAGGGGAGGGAGUUGUCUAAGGUCACACCACAGGAUAAGCAUUGAGUGACAGGGCAGGAAUCAGGCACCUGGAGAUGGAGCUGCAAAGGACACUGUCCUCGACCUUGAGGGGCUUACAACGUGUUAUUGACUGAACUGUGCCCCCCUUAACUCGUAUGUUGAAAUCCUGACCCCCAAUACUUCCAAAUGUGACUGCAUUUGGAGAAAGGGCCUUUAAAGAGGUUAUUAAGGUAAAGGGAGGUCAUGAGUGGACUCUAAUCCAACAUGGCCAGGGUCAUAUUCCAAAAGUGGAAAUUAGGACAGAGACACACAGAAGACACAGAGAAAAGGUGGCCAUCUACGAGCCACCUUCUACAAGAGAGGCCUCAGAAUGAACCCAACCCUGCUGACACCUUGAUCUUGGACUUCUAGCCACCAGAAUGGUGAGGACAUAAAUUCCUGUUGCUUAAGCCACCCAGUCUGUGGUAUUCGUUACAGCAGUCACAGAAAAAUAGUACACAGGCCUUGAGAAACAGACGUGAACACUGCUCCAAUCCCUGGAGUAACAGGGAUUCCUGUGAGCUGCCUGACUGCAGGCAGCACUGUCAGCAUCCCCAUCCCCCAGGAUCGCCUGGGACCUCCCUCUUAUCACAUCGCUCCACCUCAGCUCCUUGGCAGCCAGGCCUCCAGCGGGAGGCAGAGGGCAUCCUCAAGCUGGGCAAUUGGAGGAGCAUUUAAUGAAGGGGCUCUUUACAAAGGUGUGGGCAGGGUUUUGGGAGGUCAGAGAGGAAUGAUGCAGCCCUUCUGCAACCUCGCCUCACCCCAGGCCUGCAGGCAUGCGGAGGGAGUGCCCGCUGGAACCCAGGGCCAGGACAGGGCCUGUGCAGAGGAGUCCACCUUCAGCAAGACGGACCACCAAUACUCUGCGACUUAGAGAAGGAGACUGAGGAAUAAAUGCCCAGACCGUACUCCGCUCCUGCCCUCCUGGUUUCCUGCCAGAGUCUCCCCUUGUCUGAAGCCAACCUGAAGACACCCCUUGAGGACCCCUUCACUGUACUGGGACCAUGGGGGGCUGAGCCUCUGGGAUCAGUCACCUCCCUAACCUCCUGCAUGAGGAACAACUUGACGAACACACAUUUCAACCUGUAACAGGGUGGACAAGCAGAACCCUUCUUCAGAAGCACAUUUAUGAAGUUCCCGCAGUAACUGGCUCAGAGAGAAAUGCUGCUGUAACAGCUGAGAGAAAACUGAUAACCCUGAAAAUAAAGUGUCCAUGGAAAUCUCAUAUAUUGCCUAUUGUUUAAAAACAAUGUCUCACAUAAAAGAGGUGAUGGAUUAGUUUCUUUCAUUAUGCUGCCUCAAG